rnacentral:rRNA from 1 species
GACGAACGCUGGCGGCGUGCUUAACACAUGCAAGUCGAACGGAAAGGCCCUGCUUUUGUGGGGUGCUCGGGUGGCGAAUGGGUGAGUAACACGUGAGUAACCUGCUCUUGACUUUGGGAUAACUUCAGGAAACUGGGGCUAAUACCGGAUAGGAGCUCCUGCUGCAUGGUGGGGGUUGGAAAGUUUCGGCGGUUGGGGAUGGACUCGCGGCUUAUCAGCUUGUUGGUGGGGUAGUGGCUUACCAAGGCUUUGACGGGUAGCCGGCCUGAGAGGGUGACCGGCCACAUUGGGACUGAGAUACGGCCCAGACUCCUACGGGAGGCAGCAGUGGGGAAUAUUGCACAAUGGGCGGAAGCCUGAUGCAGCAACGCCGCGUGCGGGAUGACGGCCUUCGGGUUGUAAACCGCUUUCGCCUGUGACGAAGCGUGAGUGACGGUAAUGGGUAAAGAAGCACCGGCUAACUACGUG